UUCGACGGCCGUUGGUCGCCUUUCUGGGUCCUUCGGUUUUUCUGAACUGGGGAUGCCGUUGGUUUCGGGGGGUAAGAGGCCUUGGUGAAACUUACAUCAAGAAGGUCCCUUUCUGCCUCCGUAACACAAGAGAAUUUUACUUGCGGCUUGCUUUUGUGAGAAAUUGUUGAGAUCAAAAGUUUCAACUUAAAGCCAAAAACACCACUGCAAAGCAGAAUAAAGUUUGGAAAAAACACCUACUGUCAGAAAAAUGGCACUAACUCAACCCAGAGAGAAACCCCAUGAAUACAGUUUGUGUGGAAAAGCGAUCAGAAGCAAUUCUAACCUUGUUUGGCCCAAGAGAAAUUACACAGGAGAGAAAUGAAAUGAAUGUCAAGAAUGUGGGAGAGUGUUUAGUUAUCCUUCAUCCCUUCGGACCCAUGUGUGAUCUCAUGCUGGCAAGAAACCCUGUGAAUGUUUUCAGCGUGGGAAAGCUCGUGGGUCAUCACUCAUCCUUUAUGACACAUGUGCGAAUCCACACUGGAGAGAAACCGUAUGAGUUUAACCAAUGUGGGAAACUCUUCAGAUCCAGCUUGAGCCUCGCUAUACUCAAGAGGAUACACAAUGGGAGAAGCUGUAUAAAUGCAAUGACUGUGGAAAGACUUCAUCAGGAGCAGGAACCUGACCGUGCAUAAGAGAGUGCACACCAGGGAGGGACUAUCUGUGUGAAGAUUGUGGCAAAGCCUUUAGCAGGAAAUUCCAUCUGAUGGCACACAUGAGAACCCAUAAUGGGGAGAAGCUUUACCAUUGCAGUAACCAUGGAGAAGCCUUCAGUAGGAGCUCUAACCUGACUGCUCACAAGAGGGUACAUACAGGGGAGAUUUACCAGUGCAGCUACUGUGGGAAACUUCAGUAGUCACCCAUCCCAUAGGAAACAUGUGAGUACUCACAGUGGAGAGAAGCCCUAGGAUUAGAAGCACAUGGGAAAGCCCCAGUUGAUCUCACAUGUGAGCAACUCUGUGAAUAUCAUUAGUGUGAGAAAGUCCUCCACGGGGACUUCAGUUCCUUCACAAAGAAAUUCAGGGUAGGAGAGAAACCUUAUGAGGUUUAUAAAUAUGGAAUUGCUUUCUUCAGGGUCUUAUCCUCAAAAUGGAAAUCUAACUCAUUAGUUUUCAGAUCGUGUUUGUGAAUAAAAGCAUUUAAGGCCAUAGAUAUCCUCUCAAUAUCCCUUUAGCUACAUUACAUGGAUUUUGACCUAAGGUAUUUUUAUUUUGGUUUAAUUCUAAAUACUGUUUCUAUUAGAUGUAUUUUAACUCACAAUGUUGAUUUCCUUUUUGAGCCUAUCAAAAUACAACUUCAUUUAAAUUUCACCUGAACUCUCUCCUUCCCCCAGAUUUUAUGAUAUCCAUAGGUCUUUGUUUGGGAGGAUACCCAUGGUUCCUUAGGUGUGUUGUCUCCCUUGUUGCAAUGAGCCAGUAAACCUGACUUUGUUAGACUAUAGAUUUUGUCCUGAUAGUCUUUGGCUGAUUGUGUUGGGACAAUAACAUGCAGUCAUAAAUAUGUUCUACUCUCUUGUCCUUAGUGUUUCUAAAAAGUCCUUCUGAAAUGUCUUCUAAAAUAUUUUGUUUUCCAUCAUUGAUUUUUUUAUAUGUGGUGUCAGGAAGGGUCCAGUUUAAUUGCCUCCCUGGUAGAUAACCAGUUUUCCUAGAACUCUAAUCUGAAAGUCAGUUCCAAUUUGAAGUUUCUGUGUGCAUGUUUUUAUGUUUCUGGGCCUUCCAUUCUGUUAUAAUCAAAUUUGUUAAUCCUGUACCAAUAUAGCACCAUCUUUAAUAACUUUAUACUAUUUUUUUAACAUCUGAGAGACAGAUCCCUACAACUUGUUCUUCAAGAGUAGCUUCUUUCUUCUGUGCCUUUCAUUUCUUCAUAUGUAUUUUAUAAUAAGCUUGCACAAUUCCACAAAAAAUCACAUUGGCAUUUCAUUAGAUCAGUACUGGUAGAAUUGUUAAAUCUUUCAGGCCUUAAACUCAAUAUCUUCAUUUAUUUAGUCAUAUUCUAAUGUCUUUCAGUGGAGUUUAUAUUUAAAUAUAUAUUUAAAAUGUUAUUUUCUUAAAAAUAUGAAGUGUGGACAUUGGCUUCUUAGUAUCUAAAAACAUUUAUAUUGACAAACAUGGGUCUUUUUUUUUUAAGAUUUUAUUUAUUUAUUUGACAGAGACACAGUGAGAGAGGGAACACAAGC